GUGUCAGCAGCCGCGGUAAUACGUAGGGUGCAAGCGUUGUCCGGAAUUAUUGGGCGUAAAGAGCUCGUAGGCGGUUUGUCGCGUCUGGUGUGAAAACUCAGGGCUUAACUCUGAGCUUGCAUCGGGUACGGGCAGACUAGAGUGUGCUAGGGGAGACUGGAAUUCCUGGUGUAGCGGUGAAAUGCGCAGAUAUCAGGAGGAACACCGGUGGCGAAGGCGGGUCUCUGGGGCAUAACUGACGCUGAGGAGCGAAAGCAUGGGGAGCGAACAGGAUUAGAUACCCUGGUAGUCC
rnacentral:rRNA from 1 species